rnacentral:rRNA from 1 species
AUUGAACGCUGGCGGCAGGCCUAACACAUGCAAGUCGAGCGGCAGCGGGAAAGUAGCUUGCUACUUUUGCCGGCGAGCGGCGGACGGGUGAGUAAUGCCUGGGGAUCUGCCCAGUCGAGGGGGAUAACUACUGGAAACGGUAGCUAAUACCGCAUACGCCCUACGGGGGAAAGCAGGGGACCUUCGGGCCUUGCGCGAUUGGAUGAACCCAGGUGGGAUUAGCUAGUUGGUGAGGUAAUGGCUCACCAAGGCGACGAUCCCUAGCUGGUCUGAGGGGAUGAUCGGCCACACGGGAACGGAGACACGGUCCAGACUCCUACGGGAGGCAGCAGUGGGGAAUAUUGCACAAUGGGGGAAACCCUGAUGCAGCCAUGCCGCGUGUGUGAAGAAGGCCUUCGGGUUGUAAAGCACUUUCAGCGAGGAGGAAAGGUUGGUAGCUAAUAACUGCCAGCUGUGACGUUACUCGCAGAAGAAGCACCGGCUAACUCCGUGCCAGCCGCCGCCGUAAAAC